UGGCCGCCUCUACAGGCCAUUGUGAGGACACUGGCUCCUAAUUUGUUCUGUGCGUUGAGAUCAGCACCAUUUUCCAGCAAGAUGUGAGCCACACUUAGGUGUCCAAACCUGGCCGCCUGCAUCAGCGGGCUCCAGCCGUAGUGGUUCGUGCUCUGCACCGAGGCCCCCUUCCGCAGCAGGAACCGCACCAGCUGCUCGUGGCCACCCGCCGCGGCGAACUGCAGCCCCGUGUUGCCCGCCUCGUCGGUGCAGUCCACGGCGACGACGGGAGCAGGGGCGGCGGCGGCCGCCUCUCCGCGGGGCUCAGCCGUCUCCUCGGUGCCGCAGGCGGAGGCGGCCGCCGACCCGGCGGUGCCGCCUGGCAGCCCCAGCAGGCGCCGGGCGGUCUCGCAGUCGCCUUGCUCGCAGGCACGGAGGAAGAGCUGGACCUGGGCGGGCACCCCGCACUCCCCCAUGGGCAGCGCCAGCAGGGCCCGACGAGCUCGGCCGCCCGUGCCUGCCCGCCCC
rnacentral:lncRNA from 1 species